UCCCAGCGGUGGAUACCUAGGCUCUUGUAUCGAUGACGAACGCAGCAAAGCGCGAAAGGUAGUGUGACGCGCGGCACACUGUGAGCCAUCAACUCUUCGAACGCAAACGGCGCUUUCUUU
rnacentral:rRNA from 3 species